UUAGGUGCAGUGGGCUCCAUUGAAUAGUGUUGGGUCCAUGCAAUACUUGGACCCAUAUUUGGGUUCAAAUUUUCUUGGAUUGGGAGAGGUUUUGGGCAAUAUUUUGGGUUUAGGUCCUUGGGUUGGAGAUGGCCUAAGAGGCCUUUUUUUUUUUUUAAUUUAAAAUUUAUUUUAGAAUUAAAAAAGAUAAUGGGUAGUUAUAUUUCAUAUAGUCCUGAUAUCUUGGACUACAGGGGUCCAAGAGAUUUGUGGUCACUCACCGUCGGAUGUAAAUUCAACAGUUCACUCACUCGUGCACUCAUUUUAAAAGACUUUUUUGAACCAUUGGAUUAGGAGUCCAAGAGAUCGGGAUUGAUAUUUCAUAACAAUAAGAUCCAUUAUCUGAUUUUUCUUUUAAUUUUAAUUUUUUUUAAUAUGAAAAAGUGUGAAUUUACCAUAUUAUCCUCAUUUAAUUAAUAAUUUCAAUUCUUAAUAUUUGCAUUAACUAAGGGCAAUUUCUGGUAUUUUGAAUGUUUUACCAUUCUCUACCUUUUGCUUUAUAUAUACUCACGCAUGUGCCAAUUGAUUUUAUUUUUUAUUUUUUAUUUUAUUUUUAGAAUUAAGAAGAGAUAACAUGGGCAAUUAUGUUCUAUAAAAGUAGGACCUAUUAUCUGAUUUUGUUUUUAAUUUUAAUUUUUUUAAUAUGAAAAAAAAUGUGAAUUUACUAUAUUAUUCUCAUUUAAUUAAUAAUUUGAAUUCUUAAGUUUGAAUUAACCAAGGGUAUUUUCUGGUAUUUUGAAUGUUUCACCAUUCUCUGCUUUUUAC
rnacentral:lncRNA from 1 species